rnacentral:rRNA from 1 species
GAUGAACGCUGGCGGCGUGCCUAAUACAUGCAAGUCGAGCGAACAGACGAGGAGCUUGCUCCUUCGACGUUAGCGGCGGACGGGUGAGUAACACGUAGGUAACCUACCUAUAAGACUGGGAUAACUUCGGGAAACCGGAGCUAAUACCGGAUAAUAUUUCGAACCGCAUGGUUCGAUAGUGAAAGAUGGCUUUGCUAUCACUUAUAGAUGGACCUGCGCCGUAUUAGCUAGUUGGUAAGGUAACGGCUUACCAAGGCAACGAUACGUAGCCGACCUGAGAGGGUGAUCGGCCACACUGGAACUGAGACACGGUCCAGACUCCUACGGGAGGCAGCAGUAGGGAAUCUUCCGCAAUGGGGGAAAGCCUGACGGAGCAACGCCGCGUGAGUGAUGAAGGUCUUCGGAUCGUAAAACUCUGUUAUUAGGGAAGAACAAACGUGUAAGUAACUGUGCACGUCUUGACGGUACCUAAUCAGAAAGCCACGGCUAACUACGUG